UCUUUUGUAGGUUAUGAUUAAACUGAUGGUUUGUGGUACCGUUGAAUCUAAAUUAUUAGG
rnacentral:tRNA from 1 species